GUGGGAAGAAGCCUGCUUGUAUUUUAUCAGUAAAAUCCAAUAUUCAGUUGUUGAGUUUAUUGAUGGAUGUACUACUGCCAGCUUUAAAGGUUAGGCAUCGCAAGCUAUUGUGUGAAAACAAAACACAUUGACAGAAGAGGGAAAUAAUGCAACAGUUACUACUGCGCAAGAGCAUUACAGACAACUGUAUAUACAAAGUUUAAAUUAUAAAAUAAUUCCUUCCAGCCAGAAGUGAUUUUUUGGAGUGUCUAUGUAGCAAAGUUCAGAGUGUAAAUUGUAAUUCAGGGAAUCAACGUGAACAAAAGGAAAUGGAUUAUAAGUACGCAGUAUCCAAAAAGCCAAAAGGUCUCAAGCUUGUUUUUUUGUCAUCAUACAACAUAUGUGCAGAGCCAGGCAGCUGAAAAAAGAAAGACAGAAGGAGGUUUAAGAGGGCAUUAGAGAACAUUGCUAAAAUGGGGCUUGUGUGUCUGGGGAUUGGGAUUCUUGUCCUUGCCAUUAACACAAUUCUGGUCAGUGAUUGGUUAACUGUAUUUCAAUUGAUUGCUGUUUGUUGUUAGUUACUAAAAGCCCAUCUAUUUAUGGUCACAAGCAGCACUCCAGUAAAACCAGGCUGGAUGAUUAAUGACUUACCAUUAACUAUUCCACCGGAGAAGUGAGUGCAAGCAGAAAUGGGGACUGCUCUUGCAAAACACAUAAGUUCAUGUCACGCCUCCUAGCUGAUGUCAAACUAGCUGGCAAAUUGCAGAUCCGGAUUUGCAUCAUAAAUGGAGCUAUUAGCUGUGAGAGAAUGCAGCCUUCAGCUGAACUGUCCAUGGAUGAGAAUGGUACUAACCAGCAUCAGCUGCUACCUCCUACUUUUUCUUUCUCCCACACACACUCUUGGUUCAUGAAUAUUCCACUGCUGUGUGUCUAUGAAUGAUCUGAAUUCUACUAAAUAUUGCUUAAAUUCCAAAUGACUAUUUGGGUUUUAAAUUCCUUAAAAAUUAUCCUCCUAAAAGCUUCUACUGUAGUCUGUUCUUUAGCCUCUGCAUUGUUCUCCAAAGAGGGUGGCAAUUAUUUUCCUCUCUGUCUUUCCUCCUCUCCCCUCCAUUUAAUUUUUUUCCAAGCUCUUCUUUCUGUUAUACACUUCCGCUGCUGCAUUCUAUUCUGCCCUCCUAUGGUUUGUGUUUUCCCAGUUAAAAUUCCAGAUUUUAAACGCACAGUCAGAGUUUGCUUUAUACUUUAUUCUAUUGUUAUAACAGCAAUAUCCAAUUCUGGGUCACAGGGAGUUGGAGCUGCAUUGAGAGCAGCCAUGAACAGAACAGCAAGGAAAACUGAAGUAUAUGGAGAAAAAGUUAAGCAGAUGUUAUGCUUUAGACAAAUUAACAUUUAAAAGAAAAAUGAUACUCAUAUAGUGUCUAUGUUCAAUGACAACAGAAUAAACAACAGAGGAUGCAAAAGAAGAUAUGUGUUUAUUGUAUCAUUAAUUAGGACUGCCAAGAUAACCAACAGAUGCACAACUAUGGGCGGCAGCCUAUUGGAACACAUCAAUACUCUCAGUAUGAAAAUUUCAAACUAAGAGUUAUCUUAUACCAUACUUUUGAACUGGCACUGGGAAAUAUGCAAAUGAACAAAGUUACAUUAUUGAUUGCACCACCUGAUAAAUCCACCAGCUGCAUGCAGUUUGAUUUGGUGACAGUCAUACAGUAAAAACUAAUGGAAAAAAUGAUUUCCGAGUAGGCUACAAGCAGUCAGUUUUACAAAACCACUUGGCAAAAUCUUCAUAUCAAAGUCCUUCUGUGCUGUCUGCAAGCAUUUGGCCCAACUUCUUAUUUUAAAAUCACUUCUUGAUAUUUCACAUAAAAACAAUGAUAGCAUUUUAUGGUCUGUUAGUGAGCCCCUACCCCACUGUUAUUACAAUUAUAUUUACAAUAUUUAUGCUAAUUAUGUAUUAGACAAGUGCCUAUAAACUAAAAUGGAGUUUUAAUUGUAAAUAAAAAAGCUUCUUCGAUUUCUUUAUCCUUCUGUACUUCUUCCUCCUUGCUUUACGUCAUGCUGUCUAACCUGCACCACACAGAGCUCUUUCUGUCUCCCAGUAACAUGGCUGCUCUACACUCCCUCUGAUUCAUAUUGCAGGCUCUGGCUCAUCCAAUUUCUCUUACCAUUUGCAUCUUUCCCCCCUUGAUAGUGGUAUUUCCCAACCCCCCCCCCCAACCCAGAGUGCCUGUGCUCUUCAUACAGCUCUGCGUCUCCCACACACUCUUUCUCCUUCUCCUUGAUGUGAUAUUGAUUCACCUUUCCUCUUUCCUUCUGCGGUCUGGACCGCAAGCUGCCGGAUCUAAGAGAGCGAGCCCCAAGGAGGAAGGAGACACUGUCACGACCUCAGGUGUUUUGCUCAUCUGCUGCUGGAAGGAAUGAAGCAGUAAACAGAGGAAAGGCCUCUCCUACGCAUAACCUGUCUCACAUACAGAAUUCGUGUGAUUGGAGCAAUUAACAAAAAGUUGCUCUUUUCUCUGACCAAGGAGACAGGAUCAAACAUCUCCGAGCAAGACCACACUAUUAUGGAGUCUCGAUCAAGGCACAGUGGCUCAAAAAUGGAGGGCAAAGCAGCAGGAAAGGCAGAGAAAACAACUGGAAGUAGUGUGGAAAAGAAAGAGACUAAAUCUGGUGAACUCACCCCUCAGCCACGAAAACAAGUCAGUGAGACACCAUCUGAGCCACUAAAAGCUGGUAAUACGGCUGCAGGAGAUAAUACUGGAACGCAGGUGCCACCACUGACAGAGGUCAAUGCGGAUGGAAGUGCAGAGGAUGACAAACAGGCUACUGGGCAGAAUGGGGAUAAUCAGGCAGGUGAAGGCAAUGAUACCUCUGAGCGCCUGAAGCCUUUUCUCAUUGGCGGUGCGGCCAUUGUUGCUGUUGCUGUGGUCAUUGCCAUGGUAUUGCUUGCGCGCAAGAAAUGAACAGCUUCCUUGGGCUUAUGUAAAUAUAGUAGUAAUGUAUAGAACUAGAGGGGCACCGAAACACAUGCACAGAUACAGGUAGAGAUUGGCCAAAACAAAUGGGCACACAGGAUAGGAAGGGGCUACAUGGAUAGAAAAAGAAACCUUUCAGUCUUCAUUUGUAGUACUUCACUGUUCACUUAAAGUACCAAAGAUUCAAAACUAAACCUGAUUCAAAUAAUAUUUCCUCAAUUUCUAAAUUUGAAUCCACAACCUUGCAGAUACCUGUACAAUGAAAUCAUUGUCUGAAAAUACUUUCAUCAUUGGUCAAUCUUGAGUAUGGCAAUGCAUGUUGGCACCUUUAGUUUGACCUGAAGGGUUUAGUUGGGCCACAAUGUAAUAGCCCCAAAGGAUAACUUGCCUCCAUUUUCUUGGUAUCCUGUUAAGCAGGCGGGUGGGAUAAACCUGUUGAGGCAUUUAAUGUCACCUCAAAUUUCUUCCUGUCUGAGCAAACAGAAAACAAAAAGUCUGAAAAAAGUUAGUUUUCAUUCCCUAACCACUGCACAGUUUAAAAUCUGUAUUUGGUUUGGAAUCGUAAUUAAUAAUUAUUUUCUUAUAAAUGGAAAAAACGUGAUAACCUGGACCAUCACAAAAUAUUCUAUAAAGAAAAUACUCUGGAGUGUAGGAUCAAUAAUUAGAAAAAGUGGUUCAUAUUAUAUUAACAUAAAUUCCACUUAUGCCCCUCAAUAUAAACUGCACUGUUAUCUUUUGUAGACUUUUUUGAAUGUAAUAUGAAGAAUAGCUAUCCAGAAAACUGAAUAGGUCUCUCUUAGUCUUCAUUAGCUUGUAAUGAUUUUAAUCUUAGAGUCUUGCAAUAAAGUACCCCCUUUUUUCAAGCAUGAAAAAAGGGGCAAAAGUUAUUCCCAGUUUGAAAAAAGAAAAUAAGUUAACGGAGGCAAACUUUCUAUGAAAGAUGAUUGUCAAAAUGCUUCAUCUCUACCAUUUUUGUUUAUCAGUGUGGGAAUAACCUUCAGCCUUUCAAUUAAGCAAGCACUACCUUUGUGAAAAUUAAUUGAAGUAGUAACAAACAUCUUCAUGUGUGGGGUAUGUAAAAGAAAAUAAUAUUUUUUGGUGUUUAUUUGAUAAUACUGUCAAUUCCCUGUUGUCCAUAUGCCUUCACUAGUGACCACUAAACUAAACUGAUUAAAUGGUGAAGCAAAGCCAUCUCCUAUGACAGUAUAAAUAUAUGAUACAGUAAAAGCAAAAUAAAUAAGGUAAAAUAUCCACAUGAAAUUGUUAAAAAUAUAUCCAAAUAGACUUGGCAAAAUGGAGGAAUGGCUCACAAUGAUAGGGUUAAUUACUUUGGGUAAAACAUGUUGCGCUUUACGGAGUGUAUACAGUAUAUACUGCCUGCUCAGUCAGGUACCAAAGUAAAACCUGCGCUGUGGGCCAUUCAAGCUUUGAAAAGUACACUGAUCACACUCUGGUGUCUGUGUACAUACUUGUGUGUGUUCAUGUGUCCAAGCCCCACUGACAUUUUCACCCCCCUCUUGUGUAACUCAUGAAGCAGUAAGAGCACGAGGGCAUAACUUUGAAUGUGUGUCCCUGUGGCUUAGCUUCUUUUCAAAGUCACUGUCCAAGCGAAUGUCUUGUGUUCAUUCUGGCACUCUGCAUGGUUUGAUCCCUUGGCCUAUUUUUCAUUAUGCUUAGUAAUAAGAAUAUACUCUUACUGCUCCUCUAAUAAUACUACUAGUGAUGAUAAUGAGACUAAAGUUCAAGUUUUACCUUAAUUUUGUUUUUAAACCAGAGCGUAUAAAUGCAAUAAUGCAGGUAGGAUAAAACCUUAGAUGGGAAAUACUAGUGAUAUUAUAUAUUAUAGUUGUGUAGUUCACACCACAGCCCCUUGACUGCUCUUUCAAAAUAAUAAAAAAUGGUAUUAAUAAACCCCA